rnacentral:rRNA from 1 species
ACGAUGAAGAGUUUGAUCCUGGCUCAGGAUGAACGCUAGCGGCAGGCCUAACACAUGCAAGUCGAGGGGUAGAAAGGGCUUGCUCUUUUGAGACCGGCGCACGGGUGCGUAACGCGUAUGCAACCUACCUAUUGCAGGGGAAUAGCCCAGGGAAACUUGGAUUAAUGCCCCAUAGUCUAUAUCGAAGGCAUCGGACAUAUAGUAAAGAUUCAUCGGCAAUAGAUGGGCAUGCGUCCCAUUAGCUAGUUGGCGCGGUAACGGCGCACCAAGGCGACGAUGGG